CUAACGUCUUCUUCAUUCUUGGAGUAAAACAUAGACUUUGAAUAUGAUUUUUAUUUAAGAUGUCGUUGCCUAAUAGAUGAGAUGAGCGCCGUUCCCAUGGUGAUGACGCAGCAGGAAUUUGUUGUUGCAUCAGAAAGUUAAUGGAGGCAACGAUCUAAAGCAAACCACUUCUCACAGAAUAUGCAAAAAAGAUAUUGUCAUAGCCCCUGCUUUGAUUUCACACCACCCGCCUCCAGAUCAUUUUGGGCCUGUCUCGCAAACAGCAGGUCAUACAAGGAACGUCGCACCUUCACUCCAUCUUCAUCCUCAUCCCAAACACGUCUCGGUACCCAGCUGGCUCCGGCACUUGUUCUGUGCGCACACUGCCAGCCUCUGACGCAUGAAUAUUCCUGACAUCAUCUUCUUUUUUUUCUCCACAAACAACCAUAUUUGGAAUAUGCCUCCGUUUUACGGACAAACAGGUUGUGAAAAAUUGGGAACACUUGCAUAAUCCAAUAAAACCUGCAUUUACAAAGACAAUAAAGCAACCA